ensembl:lncRNA
GCCGAGGCCGGGAGGAGCACCGACCGGCAGGCGUACGGCCGGGAGCUUGCUGGCCGGGACCGGGGCGCGCUGCCUAGGGGCCUCGCCGACCGUGCGGGGUCGCGUUCCGGGCCGGAAUUCAGGGUGGAGACCGCACUUUGCAGGUCGCAGGAGAGGAGGUAGGCAGAGGCUUGCUUUUCUUUAUUACUUGUUAACCGUUUUCGCGUCAGGGCCAACGAAAGCGGCGGGUCCCGAGCUGGGGCAGGGUCAGCUUAGCGAUGGUGGACUUCGCAGGACAACCUUGGAGCCCAGUUGUGCAAGCCCCGGAGCUUUCUGGAGCUCCCGCGUCUAGUCUGGUCUUUAAUCUCCAAAACUUCAUUAUUAUCCGGGCUGAGACGCACCGAAACCACUUCCUGUUUGUGUAUGUAGACUUUUUUUUUUUUUUUUUAAUUUCUGGUUUUUAGAAACUCCAAAUAUUGGUGUCGGUCUGACCCUCCCACAGGGUUGUGACUGUGGGGGCAGCUGAAGUGAGAAAAGUUACCCCGUAAGGGAGGUCAGGAGAAGGAGGUGGUUUGGGGCACCGUGAGACCCAAGAGAAAAGAAUCGUGGAAACAAAUCUUUAUAGCUGGUUCAAGGGAAGUUCAGCAAGGAGGCCUGAUAAAUAGAAAUCCCUGUCCACAGAGUGGCUUUUUGGGUACUGUAGUAGAAGUGUUCUGUGAAACCAAACCUCACCUACAGUUAGAUGAGGCGGGUCCCUGAUCAGAGUAAGACAUCCCAGGGCUCCCCCUCCACCGCCACCACCACCCUGCCGUGCUUAAACCCUCCGAGCAAACCUGUUGUCAGAUGGCAGAGUUCAGCUUAUUUGCUGGAGGCUUGCCUGCUCAAAGGUCACAAUUUGGGCAGAUAGAAACAAAAGGAAGAAACGUAGAAUGAGCUGUUACAGAUGCAGGCUGGCAGACGAUGAGCCCUCAGCACUUUGGUCUCCUGGCUGGUCUCCACCAUGUGGUGGUUGAACUUGUGCUGUCAUGUAAUGGUCUCUUCGUAGGGGAUUUCCUCCCUUGCGAUGGCCAGGGCAGCAAUCUCUAUAGCUGCCCCCCUCCACCCCCCAUAACACACGUAUGCACCCUCCAAAGGGAAUUAUUCACCUGACUUCUUAAAAGUAAGAACAUAUUUCAAGUUUAUUGCUACUCAGCAUUAUGCGUUUCCAUCCUCCAGGAAAAAAAUUUGCCUUAUGUUUUAAAUCUUGUUCUCUUUUUCCACAUUCUUAGCUCUUUGAUAACCAGAUAACUACUGGUAUCUGUCUGUGGCCUGGAGAAUUAUAGUACUGUGUCUUUGAAAAAAUUCGUGAGUCAUGUAAUCUUCCUCAUUUCUGUACGAAAACAGUUGAACUGGGGAGAAUGUCUUUAGCAGAGCCUCUUGUAGGCUGAGAAGAAAGGCCGGAGAGCACAUGUCCUCAUCUUCCUCUGUAGUUCUCCGUUGACCAAGGGGCGAUUUGCGGAGAGGGACAUGAUGCCUGUGUCCAGGCUUGACGUGCCCACUUGGAGGCCUGAAUGUCUGCAGACCCACCAGGCCCAGUUGUGUAAUUGCCAUGCAGGAAGCACUUUAUUGAGCUCCUAAACUGACAUGUGAUCUCCUAGUGAAAGCUGACAAGCAGGAUUCCUUUUCCCUCUUCCAUCCGCCUGGACAGUAAGGAAGUCUUGUCGAGGGGGUAUUCCCUCAGGCAGUAGGAGAAACAGGAGAAGGGACAAGGAGACGGAGAAGCCCAGUGCCUUUUUUGUUUUUAACUUUGAAGGCAGAUAUUACUGUGAUGUAGACUUGAGUGCAGAUUUGCUUCUUGGGCUAAGAGUAAGCAUUGGGAUAAAUGCUUGUAUGUUGAUAGAGAUUCUUUCUCCUGGUCGAGAUGGCUUCAGGCUAGGGUCCACCCACAUAUCCGACUAGGGUGAGGCUUAACUUAAUGGAGUGAGUUUUUAAAAACUUAAUAUUCUUAAGUUACAUUGCCACAUUGCAGGAAACUUGAAACUAGAGCGGUGAGAAAUAAGGCCCGUAAUAUGCCGGUGUUGUUUCCUUAUUGGUUGGAAUGAAGGAUGCAACUGGAGGCUGGGGCUGGGGGUAUGUGAUGAGUGUUGGAAGCUGCUAACAGCUAUGGAUCUGAGACCAGUGAAGCAGUCUCAGGACAACAUGGGGAUGACCAUCCUUGAGCAUCAAGACAUGUUCGCUCCUGCCCUGACUAGGAUUCACGGCAGCAGCCGUUGUACCCUUAGAUGGCUAUGAGUUCCUGUGUCUCUUUGUAAAAUCUUUAUCUGAAAGAGUAGAGGUUCUGGGGAAAGAGGCACCUCAGACAAGGGCUAGGUUUUAGCAGCAGAGCCUGUGGGCACCUACGGAUGUUUCCCUUUUCUUGUGCUCACCUGUGUCUGUGAUGCUGGCCUUUUUCUUUCCCUCUUAGUUCCUGGGCCUAGAAACCAGUAGGAUUCCUGUUUGCUCUCUCAUCUUCUGGUUCAUGCCUGAGUGCGGAAGUCUCCACUCCUUUGGUAAGCCCUGCAGUGGUGCUGAGCUGGGUCGCUGCAGCCGUGGACGGCCACCUGUGCUGCUGUCAGGGCUGGGGUACGGUCGAGUCUCUGUGAAGGUGCUGGAACAGCAGGAGCGGGAAAUGCAGUGGCCAUGGUGAAAACUAAGUGGGUUUCACAGACUCCGUUGGUGCCUGUGAUGUAUUCUGCCUCCCUGACUCUUUCCAUCUCAAAAGAGGAAAAUAGCCACCCUUGAAACAUCAGAAGCUGCGUGCCAAGAAUUCAUGCAGUCCUCCAGAAACAGGAUAUUAUUGAAGCAUUUUUCUCAAGCAGAAACAGAUGUAGUUCCCUGUUAGUGUCGCCAGUGUUAGUGGAUCCUUAUAAAAUUACCUGAUAGCAGUGUGCCCAUAAGUGUACUCCUCCCCGAUGCAUAUACAAGUAUUAUUAUUAUUAAUAUUUUUGGCAGAGCCUCAUUGCUUAAUCUGGGGAAAGUUAGCCUGGGAUUCCUGAUGAAAGUUAGCCUGGGUUUGUAGAUGCAGAGGUGGUGACUGACAGUUCCUUAUUACCCAAGAGGAUCUUCUGUGGUGAAAAAUUUGAU